AAUUCAGAAAUAGAAAGUGCUGUAAGGAAUCUGCUUAGCUGCAUCCAAAGCCCUCAAGCACAUGGAAAUCCCAACAGUUCUCCCACCGUGGCACCUCAGCCUGGUACUAGUGCUUCCUUUGGGGUUGGCCAGGCUGUUAGUAGGCCAAACACAGUUCAGCAAGAAAUGCAAAGAGCUUUUCCAGCACUUUACCAUGGAAGCCGUAAACGAAUGAAAAAAAUGGCACCUGAACCUGCAAAACUUACAUCUGUAAAGUUCUUAGAAUUCCAGUUCUGCUUGCUAUCCAAAAACUCCCAAAAGACUCCCAAAGAUGAAACAGUUCUCUUACAAGCAGGGCUAGGCAGAAGAACUGUAAAUAUUCCAGACAAUGCUGAUCAUACUGAGAUAACCAAAGUACUUCUUCAGGAGUACCCAAAGUUGCAAAACUUAAAAGG